rnacentral:lncRNA from 1 species
CUUCAUGAUGCGACAGCACUGGGUCCCACAAACAGCUACUGCUAGGCACCUGGGAACCACGAAGAAAUAAGAUCGCUGAGCUCAACCAGCCUCUACUGUUCCAUUUUCCCAUGGAGCAGAGUCAGCCAGGCAACUGCUUGGAGGGCAGAUACCCACCUCGCCUUCUUCCGCGCAUCUCAGAAGCCAGUUUCUGGUCCAAGCCACUCUAGGAGAAGCCUAGAAGCGGCACCCCAGGGCUCCCCAACAUCCCCCAGCGCCGGGAAACCGACUCCGGCUCGCAGUAAGGCAGCCAGGCCUGCCCUUGUCUGAACCUGCGUCCUUGAGACUCAGCCAAACCUCUCCCGGCUUGGCGGAGGGAUGUUGAGGUGACAUUCUUCUCCCUGCCACUCAGCAUCUUUUAAACAAUCCUCCACCUUGGGAGAAGACGCAGGAGCUCCCUGCAGAUUAGGGCCACGGAAGAAAGAAAGUCUCCUUCUCCCUGGGAGGGGCAUUUGUCGCAAGUGAAAAAACGCACCCGUGAAAGUGCUCAUCUCCUGCAGCCAAGGCUCGCCCGGGACCUCAUUUCAUGAGUGAGGAGCCUUCAUCUCACCAGCCCACCCCAGCUGACUGCUGGAGGCACCUGGGGAGCUGUGUUGAGACAGAUGCUCAAGGCCAGUAGGUCAAAAGGCCCCUCGAGCAGUUUGAUGACUCUACCACGGCAGCGGCCCAGCCUGGACCAGCCCGGUGGCCGGCCUGCCCUGAACAGGGAAAGCUCAGAUGGACGUGAUGCGGCGACAGGAGCCUCACGGGACCCCCCGCUUCUCACUUCGUUCCUCUCACACUCCCAUCUCUUCCCUCCAGGCCCUUGACAAACAAGACAACAUUCGGG